rnacentral:rRNA from 1 species
GAUGAACGCUGGCGGCGUGCCUAAUACAUGCAAGUCGAGCGAACAGAUGAGGAGCUUGCUCCUCUGACGUUAGCGGCGGACGGGUGAGUAACACGUGGAUAACCUACCUAUAAGACUGGGAUAACUUCGGGAAACCGGAGCUAAUACCGGAUAAUAUAUUGAACCGCAUGGUUCAAUAGUGAAAGACGGUUUUGCUGUCACUUAUAGAUGGAUCCGCGCCGCAUUAGCUAGUUGGUAAGGUAACGGCUUACCAAGGCAACGAUGCGUAGCCGACCUGAGAGAGUGAUAGGCCACACUGGAACUGAGACACGGUCCAGACUCCUACGGGAGGCAGCAGUAGGGAAUCUUCCGCAAUGGGCGAAAGCCUGACGGAGCAACGCCGCGUGAGUGAUGAAGGUCUUCGGAUCGUAAAACUCUGUUAUUAGGGAAGAACAAAUGUGUAAGUAACUAUGCACGUCUUGACGGUACCUAAUCAGAAAGCCACGGCUAACUACGUG